rnacentral:rRNA from 1 species
ACGCACGCUGGCGGCGUGCUUAACACAUGCAAGUCGAACGAAGAGCGAUGGAAGCUUGCUUCUAUCAAUCUUAGUGGCGAAGGGGUGAGUAACGCGUAAUCAACCUGCCCUUCAGAGGGGGACAACAGUUGGAAACGACUGCUAAUACCGCAUACGAUCUAAUCUCGGCAUCGAGGAUAGAUGAAAGGUGGCCUCUACAUGUAAGCUAUCACUGAAGGAGGGGAUUGCGUCUGAUUGGCUAGUUGGAGGGGUAACGGCCCACCAAGGUGAGGAUCAGGAGCCGGUCGGCGUGGAUGGACGGCCACAUUGGGACUGUGACACGGCACAGACGCCUACGGGAGGCAGCAGUGGGGAAUCUUCCGCAAUGGACGAAAGUCUGACGGAGCAACGCCGCGUGAGCGAUGACGGCCUUCGGGUUGUAAAGCUCGGUUAAUCGGGACGAAAGGCCUUCUUGCGAAUAGUGAGAAGGAUUGACGGUACCGGAAUAGAAAGCCACGGCUAACUACGUG